UACGGAGGGUGCAAACGUUGCUCGGAAUCAUUGGGCGUAAAGCGCACGUAGGCGUCCGGCAAGUCGGGUGUGAAAGCCCUCGGCUUAACCGAGGAAGUGCAUUCGAAACUACCGGACUUGAAUACUGGAGAGGGUCGCGGAAUUCCCGGUGUAGAGGUGAAAUUCGUAGAUAUCGGGAGGAACACCAGUGGCGAAGGCGGCGACCUGGACAGAUAUUGACGCUGAGGUGCGAAAGCGUGGGGAGCAAACAGG
rnacentral:rRNA from 1 species